CACCAACGCCUAAGGUCUCCAACAACAGUUAACCCAUCAGCAAUCUCGAAAACAUCCGAGCUUCUUUUAGAUAGAGAGCUACUCCGCUCCACCGACACCCCAACCGAGCUUCAACCGUCCAGCCUGAACUCCCCAGCAAGUCGCGACAAUAGACACCACUCCACUCUUCGUAACAAACUCCACGUGGCCCCACCACUCUCUGACAAGUCACUACAACGGACACCACUCCACUCUCCGUAACAAACUUCACAUGACCCCGAACGGCCCACUAUCAGGCAGUUACGGACGUCGCUGUCAAUCAGUUACGUUCUCCCGUCUAUAAAAGAGACCCCCC
rnacentral:lncRNA from 1 species